rnacentral:rRNA from 1 species
CAGGAUGAACGCUAGCGGCAGGCUAACACAUGCAAGUCGAGGGGCAGCGGGAUGUAGCAAUACAUUGCCGGCGACCGGCGGAUGGGUGCGUAACGCGUAUGCAACCUACCUUAUACAGGGGAAUAACCUUCGAAAGGGAGACUAACACCCCAUAGUAUUGAUUUAAGGCAUCUUAGAUUAAUUAAAUAUUUAUAGGUAUAAGAUGGGCAUGCGUAUGAUUAGCUAGUUGGUAAGGUAACGGCUUACCAAGGCGACGAUCAUUAGGGGUUCUGAGAGGAAGGUCCCCCACACUGGUACUGAGACACGGACCAGACUCCUACGGGAGGCAGCAGUGAGGAAUAUUGGUCAAUGGGCGCAAGCCUGAACCAGCCAUGCCGCGUGCAGGAAAAGACGGCCUUAUGGGUUGUAAACUGCUUUUACAUAAGACUAACCGUAUAUUUGCGAAUAUACCUGAAUGUAUUAUGAGAAUAAGGAUCGGCUAACUCCGUGCCAGCAGCGGC